AAUGGAUCCGUCCAAUUAAGCGCAUCAGGUCAUAAAUCCCCCCGCUGUCACGACGAAGUGACUUUCAAUUGGAUUAGUGCGAGAGAACAUACAGGCUCUGAUUAAGGACUUUAUUCAGGUAUGUCGGUUCAUAAAGAGGCCUGAUGUCGGGACGGUGAAGGCACGUCUACAAGAUAAUGUGGUGUAAACAGAUGGUAAUCGUAAUUUCCGGACACAGAUGCGACUUGCAAGGGUCAAAAUCUUUAAAUUAUGAUCUCUAUGUGCAUGCGAAUAUCUUCAGCCGACUUGUGAAAUGUCCAAACAGCUCCAACUGCUACCUAAGAUGAUAACACGGACGAUAAAGGAAUGAAGGGUUAGUUGACUUUUAAAUUAAAUUUUG